UUUUUGCAUCUGGGAUUUUAAAACUACUUCAUAUAAGGUCUGUGUUUCGUGUAGACUUACCCUGGGGUGACGUUUUGAUAGCCAUGUAAUUCUCUCUCGGAUAAGUAUCCCGUGUGUAUCAUGAAUGGACCACCACCCAAAUGACAUCCAACUUGACACAACUGUGGGAAGCAUUGGAGUCAACAUGGGCCAGUAUCCCUGUGGAACACUUGACACCUUGUAGAGUCAAUAUCCCUACCAAUUGAGGCUGUACUGUGAGCAAAAGGAAACAGGAGCCGAAGAUUGCAACAUAUAUUAUGUAUUAUUGCUUCCAUCUGUCACAUGCACUUAUGUUUUGUUAUUAUUAAUACAAAAAAAUAAAAUAAAUUACAGCUUUAAAACUGUCAGUGAUGAUUUUCAAAGUAGUCCAAC